UAUACAUGCAAGUCGAGCGGACAGAUGGGAGCUUGCUCCCUGAUGUUAGCGGCGGACGGGUGAGUAACACGUGGGUAACCUGCCUGUAAGACUGGGAUAACUCCGGGAAACCGGGGCUAAUACCGGAUGCUUGUUUGAACCGCAUGGUUCAAACAUAAAAGGUGGCUUCGGCUACCACUUACAGAUGGACCCGCGGCGCAUUAGCUAGUUGGUGAGGUAACGGCUCACCAAGGCAACGAUGCGUAGCCGACCUGAGAGGGUGAUCGGCCACACUGGGACUGAGACACGGCCCAGACUCCUACGGGAGGCAGCAGUAGGGAAUCUUCCGCAAUGGACGAAAGUCUGACGGAGCAACGCCGCGUGAGUGAUGAAGGUUUUCGGAUCGUAAAGCUCUGUUGUUAGGGAAGAACAAGUACCGUUCGAAUAGGGCGGUACCUUGACGGUACCUAACCAGAAAGCCACGGCUAACUACGUGCCAGCAGCCGCGGUAAUACGUAGGUGGCAAGCGUUGUCCGGAAUUAUUGGGCGUAAAGGGCUCGCAGGCGGUUUCUUAAGUCUGAUGUGAAAGCCCCCGGCUCAACCGGGGAGGGUCAUUGGAAACUGGGGAACUUGAGUGCAGAAGAGGAGAGUGGAAUUCCACGUGUAGCGGUGAAAUGCGUAGAGAUGUGGAGGAACACCAGUGGCGAAGGCGACUCUCUGGUCUGUAACUGACGCUGAGGAGCGAAAGCGUGGGGAGCGAACAGGAUUAGAUACCCUGGUAGUCCACGCCGUACACGAUGAGUGCUAAGUGUUAGGGGGUUUCCGCCCCUUAGCGCUGCAGCUAACGCAUUAAGCACUCGCUGGGGAAGUACGGUCGCAAGACUGAAA
rnacentral:rRNA from 1 species